GAUGAACGCUGGCGGCGUGCUUAACACAUGCAAGUCGAACGGGAUCCCAGGAGCUUGCUCCUGGGUGAGAGUGGCGAACGGGUGAGUAAUGCGUGACCGACCUGCCCCAUACACCGGAAUAGCUCCUGGAAACGGGUGGUAAUGCCGGAUGCUCCGACAUGACGCAUGUUGUUUCGGGAAAGAUUCAUCGGUAUGGGAUGGGGUCGCGUCCUAUCAGCUUGAUGGCGGGGUAACGGCCCACCAUGGCUUCGACGGGUAGCCGGCCUGAGAGGGCGACCGGCCACAUUGGGACUGAGAUACGGCCCAGACUCCUACGGGAGGCAGCAGUGGGGAAUAUUGCACAAUGGGCGCAAGCCUGAUGCAGCGACGCCGCGUGCGGGAUGACGGCCUUCGGGUUGUAAACCGCUUUUGACUGGGAGCAAGCCCUUCGGGGUGAGUGUACCUUUCGAA
rnacentral:rRNA from 1 species